rnacentral:rRNA from 1 species
CCUACGGGGGGCUGCAGUGGGGAAUAUUGGACAAUGGGGGGAACCCUGAUCCAGCCAUGCCGCGUGUGUGAAGAAGGCCCUCGGGUUGUAAAGCACUUUCAGUGAGGAAGAACGCCUGGUGGUUAAUACCCAUCAGGAAAGACAUCACUCACAGAAGAAGCACCGGCUAACUCCGUGCCAGCAGCCGCGGUAAUACGGAGGGUGCGAGCGUUAAUCGGAAUUACUGGGCGUAAAGCGCGCGUAGGUGGCUUGAUAAGCCGGUUGUGAAAGCCCCGGGCUCAACCUGGGAACGGCAUCCGGAACUGUCAAGCUAGAGUGCAGGAGAGGAAGGUAGAAUUCCCGGUGUAGCGGUGAAAUGCGUAGAGAUCGGGAGGAAUACCAGUGGCGAAGGCGGCCUUCUGGACUGACACUGACACUGAGGUGCGAAAGCGUGGGUAGCAAACAGGAUUAGAUACCCUAGUAUC